rnacentral:lncRNA from 1 species
AGAUGAUGGUGUAGGGCUGAGACCUGAGAAACAAUAUUUAUUAAUUUGGUAGAGAAAGAUGAGUCUCAAGGGAAGAUGAAAAAGAAGAAACCAGAAAAAUAGAAGAAAAAUCAGCUUUACAGAAUUCUUUCUCAAGAGGAUUUAGACUCCUUUUCUAUUGAUAGGGCAUAAGAAUUGACUCAGACCUAGAAACUGGCUGGGACCAUCUCAUAAUGUUUGUGUACAUUCCUGUUGUCUUCUACCUCCCAUCCACCGUGUCUCUCUACUGCCUAUAACCAGCCUACAUAAGGCCCUGAACAGACUGGAUGAUGCCCACCCACACGGAUGAAGGGCGGAUGUUGUUUACUCAGUCUGCUGAUUCCAACGCUAAUCUUUUCCAGAAACACCAUCACAGACACACCGAGAAAUAAUGCUUUAUCACCUAUGUGGGCAUUCUUGAGCCCAAUCAAGUUGCCACAUGAAAUUUACCAUCACACCUACCUGUCCACCUCUGCCCACACCUACUUUAAGUUUAACCCAAUAAUAAAUGAGACUUAAUCUCAUUUUUAGAGCCCUCCAAUGAAAAAUUUGUUAUUGUACUUCAUAAGACUUUUUGAUAUUUAACAGGUCUCAAGAAAGAUUUUUUUUGGCAAAAGCCAUACUUACACAAAGAAGACAUGGGUUUUAGACUGACUUUGGCCCUUUCUACCUGUAGGGUCACAUACUUUCACAAUAUGGACAAAAUGAUGCUACUGUGCCUUUCCCACAGGAUUGCUGUAUAAAUCAUUUGUGAAUUCUAAGAUUAUUGAGAUGAUUAUGCUUAUGAAUAUCUUAUUAUAUAAUAACUUUUCCCAUUUUAAAAAGAAUUGCAUUUAUAGACAUAAAUGACUAAGGUGGCUUUUAAAAUUCCCGAAGAAAAUCUUUUUAGAUAUAUACCAUUCUAAUGACUUGUAUUUAUUAGACAAGUCUGGAUUUAAAAAUGGGAGUUUAUAGUCAUUUAAGCCAACUAAUAAUAAUAUCUAAGGAGCCUGGAUGAGUAAAGACUCUUCAAUUCACAGUCAAAUGCCAAGUGAGGCUUAUAUUUUCGUUAGGAAAGUUUCGCCAGGGUGAUUGUUUUAAUUACUUUUAUUGGAAUAACAGUAGCUAAUAAAGCAAUCCAGAUUGUUACCAAGCUCAGUAGGAGAGAAAAUAAUAGGAUGUCUUCACAUCUUAUGACUAGAAAUCAUGUCCUCAGAUACUUUGUUUCUUCCUCUUUCAUUGUGGUGUGAAAAGUAGAAAGAAAGCUCCCCUCUGCAGGGGAAGUUUUAUAGAGAUGGUAACCUGGUUAUACUCUGUCUUUUAGGAAUCCUUGCAGAGUUGGGAAUAGCACAUUUCUCACUAUAUAUAUAUAUAUAUAUAUAUAUAUAUAUAUAUAUAUAAUAUAUAUAUGGUAAUUUUUGUGUGGAUUUAUAUUACCUUUGAUCCCCAGACAUUGUUUGAAAAACUUGAGGAAGGAGGAAAAAGAAUCAGAUGGUGACGGAACUCAUGUGGCUGACUGAG